UACGUAGGGGUGCGAGCGUUUAAUCGGAAUUACUGGGCGUAAAGCGUGCGCAGGCGGCUUUGCAAGACAGAUGUGAAAUCCCCGGGCUCAACCUGGGAACUGCAUUUGUGACUGCAUGGCCAGAGUGCGGCAGAGGGGGGAUGGAAUUCCGCGGUGUAGCAGUGAAAUCGUAGAUAUGCGGAGGAACACCGAUGGCGAAGGCAAUCCCCCUGGGCCUGCACUGACGCUCAUGCACGAAAGCGUGGGGAGCAAACAGG
rnacentral:rRNA from 1 species